UACGUAGGGGGCAAGCGUUGUCCGGAAUCAUUGGGCGUAAAGCGCGUGUAGGCGGCCCGAAAAGUCUGGUGUGAAAUCCUGGGGCUCAACCCCAGUCGGUCACUGGAUACUAUCGGGCUUGAGUCUGGAAGAGGAGUGUGGAAUUCCUGGUGUAGCGGUGGAAUGCGCAGAUAUCAGGAGGAACACCAAUGGCGAAGGCAGCACUCUGGUACAUGACUGACGCUGAGACGCGAAAGCGUGGGUAGCAAACAGG
rnacentral:rRNA from 1 species